ensembl:lncRNA
CCUGGAGGAGGAAAUGGCAACUCACUCCAGUAUUCUUGCCUGAAAAUCCCAUGGAUAGAGGAACCUGGCAGACUACAUACAGUUCAUGGGGUCACAAAGAGUCUGACGUGACUGUGAGACUUAGCACGCCCGCCCAGGGUCCCUGUGCUCUUUCCUGUUCUAAUUGUCUAUUUCCCAAGCCCACAUCUUGGAGGAUCUUCAAAUAGCAAGUAUAAUUUUAAGCAUCUGAGUAUAGGAACCCUGGCUGUAGGUUUUGGAAUUCAGCACACUGAAUGUAGUUGGCACUUACAUUUGUUGAACAGAUGAAUGGAGCUCCCUGGAUCCCAUCCACUAUUCCAGAAGGACCAUUUCCAGGGCUCUUUUGCUCUAUUCUGGGCUUCCCUGGUGGCUCAGAUGGUAAAAAAUCUGCCUGCAACGCAGAAGACCCGGCUUCCAUCCCUGAGUUGGGAUGUCUCCUCCCCGGCACUUCGUCACACAUAUAUGAAGGCUGGGAAAGCCCAAGAUCAAGACGACAACUGAUCUGACAUGUGUGCGGCGGCGGCGGAAGGCGCGACGGCAGAGGAAAACUUCUCGCUGCGGUGAGCGCUCAACCAGACUGCGCUGCGCCGCGCCGAGCCGGGGCCGCCGCUCCGGCCGCGGGAGCCUGACGUCUCCCCACUUCGUAUUGAUUUGGAGGAACUUGAGUGAGAGAGAAUCGUGUUUAUAAUGAUAUGAACACCUCUUUUUCCCUUUGGAGGGGACUUAGGAUGUGACUAUAUAAAACAAAACCCACUUUUGUCAUGUGUGCGUGACAGCUCCAACUGAGAAUCUUGCAAACUUUAUACACAAAACAAAGCCAUCACUGAUGUUACUGCCAGGAUGCAGGAGCUACUGGCCAGAGAUCCCCACUAAGAACUCACUCCCACAUUUCCAGAUGAGUGCUACGAGAUGAGGUUCUUAAACUAAGACUCCUAAUUUGGUGCCCUGCUAAAAGGAAAAACCAAGGCAACCAAAAAUAGACAUACACUGACUCCUUAUACAGUUGAGAAUUUUGACAGAAUAACAUGCAGAGGAGUGGAGAAUUCAAGGUGGGUAGGAAGACUGGGGGAGAAGACGAUGGCACCCCACUCCAGUACUUUUGCCUGGAAAAUCCCAUGGACGGAGGAGCCUGAUAGGCUCCAGUCCAUGGGGUCGCUAAGAGUCUGGCAUGGCUGAGUGACUUAACUUUCACUUUUCCCUUUCAUGCAUUGGAGAAGGAAAUGGCAACCCACUCCAGUGUUCUUGCCUGGAGAAUCCCAGGGACAGAGGAGCCUAGUGGGCUGCUGUCUAUGGGGUCGCACAGAGUCGGACACGACUGCAGUGACUUAGCAGCAGCAGCAGGAAGACUGGGAUCACAAACGAAUGCAACACACCUUGGCAAAAAUAAAACCCAUCUAAAAAGAACAGGCCAAAUAAAAUUAAAAAGUAAAUAAUUAAAAUAAAAAGAACAGGCCUUGGGACUUCCCCGGUGCUCCAGUGGUUAAGAAUCCACCUUGCAACGCAGGGGUUUGAUCCCUGGUUGGGGAACUAAGAUCCUGUAAGACACAGAGCAAUUUAGCCCAUGUACCACAACUGCUGAGCCUGUGCACCACAAUGAAAGAUCCUGCAUGUAGAAACUAAGACCCAGCAUGGUCAAAUAAAUAAAAUAGAUUAAUUUAAAAAAGAACAGGCCUGGUUUGCCUUCUCUUGCUUAGUAGAAUACACAGUUCUGGUCAUAAGAACUCUCCCAUAGAUAGAUGAGAUAAAUGUGGAGAUUAUCCUGCAUAAUCUGGAUGGCUCAUUGUUACCACAAGGUACUUACAAGGGAAAGAAGAAAGCAGGAGAGUCAGAGA